CCCUGUUGGUGGAAGGUGGACUUGGUUCAGACGCCUGUUGGUGGAAGGUGGACUUGGUUCAACGCCCUGUUGGUGGUAGGUGGACUUGGUUCAGACGCCCUGUUGGUGGAAGGUGGACUUGGUUCAGACGCCCUGUUGGUGGAAGGUGGACUUGGUUCAGACGCCCUGUUGGUGGAAGGUGGACUUGGUUCAGACGCCUGUUGGUGGAAGGUGGACUGGUUCACGCCCUGUUGGUGGAAGGUGGACUUGGUUCAGACGCCCUGUUGGUGGAAGGUGGACUUGUUCAGACGCCCGUUGGUUGGAAGGUGGACUUGGUUCAGAGACGCCCGUGGGUGGAAGGUGGACUUGGUUCAGACGCCCUGUGGUGGAAGGUGGACUUGGUUCAGACGCCCUGUUGGUGGAGUGGAGGUGGACUGUUCGACCCCGUGGUGGAAGGUGGACUUGGUUCAAGAAGCCCGUUGGUGGAAGGUGACGGGGUUCAGACGCCCUGUUGGUGGAAGGUGGACUUGGUUCAGACGCCCUGUUGGUGGAAGGUGGACUGGUUCAGACGCCCUGUUGGUGGAAGGUGGACUUGGUUCAACGCCCUGUUGGGGGAUGGUGGACUGGUUCAGAAGCCGUUUGGUGGAAGGUGGACUGGUUCAGACGCCCUGUUGGUGGAAGGUGGACUUGGUUCAGACGCCGUUGGGUGGUAGGUGCCCUUUGGAUCAAGAAGCCUGUGGUGGUAGGUGCUCUUGGAUCAAGAAGCCCUGUUGGUGGUAGGUGCCUUGGAUCAAGAAGCCCUGUUUGGUGGUAGGUGGCUCUUGGAUCAAGAAGCCCGUGUUGGUGGGUAGGUGCUCUUGGUUCAAGAAGCCUGUUGGUGGUAGGUGCUCUUGGUUCAAGAAGACCCUGUUGGUGGUAGGUCGCUUGGAUCAGAAGCCUGUUGGUGGUAGGUGCUCUUGGUCAAGAAGCCUGUUGGUGGUAGGUGCUUUGUUCAGAAGCCCGUUGGUGGUAGGUGUCUUGGUUCAAGAAGCCCUGUGGUGGUAGGUGCUCUUGGUUCAAGAAGCCCUGUUGGUGGUAGGUAUUAUUAGCAGUUCGUCUUGUCUAUUUUCUUCCUCCACUGAGACAAUGCUGUGUUCAAGACCACUGGGAACUCGGAAAUGUCUCCCUCCGACUUCAGUGUGUUCAAGACCAUGGGAAACUCGGAAACGUCUUCCUUCCGACUUCAGUGUGCUCAAAACAACUGGGAACUCGGGGGAGGAACAAUCCGACUGGAAAAAAACGUUGAACUGUCAUCCAAUCCCGACGUUCCACCUGUAGAUCACUGACCUCAUGAUUGACCCUCGUGACCUCAUGAUUUUGACCUCGUUUUUUCCCCCCGAGUUCCUAGUUGUCUUGAAGGCUUCAUGACCAUCGGAUGCCGGACAAUGAGUCAUGUUUAAAAUAUUAAAUCUGAGCCUAAAUCUCGGCUUACUUUUUGACUCCAAAAAGGUUUGUAAUGUGCUGCUAUGACAGUGAUCAUGCUGUUGUGUGGUGACUGCUAUGACAGUGCUCCUAUGACCAUGGUCUGCUGUUUGUAUGUGGCUGCUAUGACAGUGAUCAUGCUGUUUGUGGGUGACUGCUAGGACAGUGCCUCCUAUGACCAUGGUCAUGCUGUUUUGUAUGUGGCUGCUAUGACAAUGAUCAUGCUGUUUGUAUGUGGCUGC
rnacentral:lncRNA from 1 species